AUUGAACGCUGGCGGCAGGCCUAACACAUGCAAGUCGAACGAGUGGCGGACGGGUGAGUAAUGUCUGGGAAACUGCCUGAUGGAGGGGGAUAACUACUGGAAACGGUAGCUAAUACCGCAUACCAUCAGAUGUGCCCAGAUGGGAUUAGCUUGUUGGUGGGGUAACGGCUCCCCAAGGCGACGAUCCCUAGCUGGUCUGAGAGGAUGACCGGACACACUGGAACUGAGACACGGCCCAGCCCCUUACGGGAGGCAGAAGUGGGGAAUUUUCCACAAUGGGCUCAAGCCUGAUGCAGCCAUGCCGCGUGUUUGAAGAGGCCCUUCGGAUUUUAAAGUACUUUCAGCGGGGAGGCUUUACCCAAAGAGAAAGCACCGGCUAACUCCGUGCCAGCAGCCGCGGUAAUAC
rnacentral:rRNA from 1 species